GAGGGUCCAGGGUUCAAGUCCCUGUUCGG
rnacentral:piRNA from 7 species